CGGGUGAGGGGGGAGGGGUAGAAAGGGGAGAGAGGCUAUUUAAGGGGAAGGUUAGGUCGGGGGCUUUAGGUUAGUUUUAGGGGUGGGUUUUGGGCGCCUUUAAGCCGGGGAGGGGGCCCUCUAGCUAGGUAGCUAGGGGGCAGGGUAGGGGAGGGGGGCAGGGGUACCUGAGCCGCGGCGGUCGGCGGCCGCGGCCGAUGGGCCUCAGCUGGCUGAGCAGGGGCGCGUCGGCGCCGCCCCUGAGCACCCUGCUCGGGAAGGGCAGGAGCCGGCGGCGCCGCCGGCGCCCGCCGCCCCCGCCCGCCGACGCGGAGUACACGUCGAAGCCCCCGGCGUAGCACGGCGCCGGGUGCCUGUUCAGGGAGACGAUGGAGCCGCCCCUCUGGGCCUAGCACCGGCAGCUGGCGUUGCGGAGGGAGCGGCUGCAGGUGCCGGCGGAGAGGGCGAGGGAGGAGCGGCCGGUCGGGAAGUGCGAGUUCAUGGUCGAGGGGUUGCUCCUGGAGCUGAGCGAGUAGAGGCAGAGGUGGCUGCUCCUGGAGCUGUUGGAGCAGCUGCUCAUGCUGGCGCAGCGGCGGUGGAGGAGGAGGCCGCCGCGGAGGAGGGCGUGGAGGGCCUAGGCGGAGAAGGAGAAGGGGCGGUUCGGGCUCAGGAGGAGGAGGGAGCCGAGGGAGGAGCUGCUGAGUAGGUUCAGGCUCUUGACCAAGCAGCUGCGCGAGUUGUCGCGGUAGAGGCCGAGGAAGCUGCCGUAGGGCGCGCCCUAGAGGUGGCUGAGGCGGAGGCAGUUGACGGAGGAGCCGGAGCUCCUGCUGUUGCGGAGCGUCGUGAGGGCGUCGCCCCACGGGUUGAGGCCGGGCCGGCUCCUGGUCGCCCAGUUGGUCGUCUUCGAGCGGCGGCGCCGGCGGCGGCGCUCCGUGGUCGUGCUGCACGUCAGGCACGGGCUGAGCGGCUACGACCUGUUCUUGAGGAGGAAGCCGAGGUGGAGGAGCCGCGGCAGGGACAGCUUAGACGGCGGCUAAGCCCAGGCCGGGCUCCUGGCCGUCGGACACCGCGGCGGCCAGAGACAUCUCCUAGUGAAACGGGUCUACCCCUAGAGCCUCGUCGUCCCGGACGGAGGUGGCCACUACCCUAUAUACGUUGGCGGCGGCGUCCACGGCUAGGGGCGGUACCGCUACGUUCGCCGGUCGUCGUAGAGCGGUAGCCUCGGCGGGUCGUCCCGGAAGAGACUACUACUGUCCAGGCUAGUGCCCCCAGCCUACGUCGUCGGUGGUUUCGUCCUCCAAGGUGGAUGGCGGCUGGGGUUGUUGUCCCGGUACAAGAUGUUACUAUACAGCGGAGCCUUACUCUACUUCGCUCUGUACGGCCACCCUUGACUACGGCGGUCGAUAGCGCGAGGUCGCGGUCGAGGCCUACGACGGCGUAGCCGUCGGCGACGUGUCGGUGGCGGACCAAUACAGAUACGCGUCUACGUCGGUGUUGUCGUCAAUGUCGUCGGUGGAGUCGUCGUUAAUGUCGUCGUCGUCGUUAAUGUCGUCGUCGUCGUCAAUGUUGUCGUUCGAGUCGUCGUUAACGGUGUUGUUUAUGUCGUCGUCGGUGUCGUCGUUAACGGCGGCGUUAAUGUCGUCGUUCGUGUCGUCGUCGGAGGCGUCGGCGUCGUUCGUGUGGUCGGUCGAGGUGUCGUUAUACAGUGGCGACCUUUAGUCGUAAAGUAAGUGUUGGGUCGGUGCCCGUGUAAGUAAGGUUAGGUUAGAAUAAUGGUUGUCUGACAGGGAGUCGUUCGCGGCGUCGUUGUCGUCAGCGGACGUAAACUGGGUUUAUGACCGUACAUAAUGUAGGGAUACGUCGCAGGUUUACGUGGAGUCGUCAUAUGGUAAGGACGACCACGCCAUCGGGGAUACCGACGAGGCUGUGAACAACUGUCGCAUGGCUUCGGUUGGCACGGCUAAGGAGUCGUUAUAUACUUCGGACUUAACGUCGUUGGACCGUACAUGGCUUGGCGCCGUGGACGACGGCGACGAGGUCCCGGAUUGUGCUGGGGAUUAAUACGACCUUACCCCAUGGUGGUACAUUACGUUAGGGUGGUGGUAGGACGUAGCGUCGGAGGCGGCUGGUACCGCCCUUUGAUACCCAUGGGGCUCAUACGACGACUAGGGGCGCGUGUCCAGAAGAUGAGGGUCCGUCCUCGUGGUGGUCGUAGUAACGGUGGAGUCAUAGUCGUCGGGUACCCUCGUGGACUACGGCCGCCAGUCCGACUGUACUUAGUCUUGGCACCACCAAGUAUCGCUUCCUAACCACUUAAGACAAUACGACGCAUAGGAUCUCGACACGUAAGCCCUAGUUUAGUUCGUACGUAGACCUGAACACUAAUCCCCACCCCCAGGUUUUAUUCUAGUUUGGCCAUGAUACAAGCAGGGACACAACGGCUCGGACUCCCCCUCAAAGACUAAACCAGGACCUCUCAGGUAAACGGCUACAACGUCGUUCGACCCCCACCUUCCUUCCGGACACUUACUUCACAACCUAAUGUCAAGGUUAACGAACAGAAUUAAAAACUUAUUUAUAUAUCAACAGAUUUUUCGAGUCAUUUUUGAAGGCUUAGCUCUUGAGUAGUAAACACAUCGGGGAGACAUAUAAAUUUUGAGUACCUACCAUGGCUCCAACUUUACAGUCUAUACACAAAUAAUAAAUCGAACGGAACAUCUUUGAACUAGGGCUCAAUUUAUAGUAGUAUGUGGGAAACAGGGUAUAAAAACAUGGUAAUAACUAUAACUACAGCUAUGUAAAAGAAGACCAAAAAUUAUGUGGGAACAGGGCACG
rnacentral:rRNA from 1 species